rnacentral:tRNA from 1 species
GAGGGUAUAGCUCAGUGGUAGAGCGUGUGCUUAGCAUGCACAAGGUCCUGGGUUCAAUCCCCAGUACUUCCA